UAGAGAUUCAGAGUUUGAUCCUGGCUCAGGACGAACGCUGGCGGCGUGCUUAACACAUGCAAGUCGAGCGGACAGGCCCCUUCGGGGGUACUCGAGCGGCGAACGGGUGAGUAACACGUGAGCAACCUGCCCCUGACUCUGGGAUAAGCCCGGGAAACCAGGUCUAAUACCGGAUACGACCCGCCUCCUCAUGGUGUGCGCGUGGAUAGAUUCAUCGGUCGGGGAUGGGCUCGCGGCCUAUCAGCUUGUUGGUGGGGUAACGGCCUACCAAGGCGACGACGGGUAACCGGCCUGAGAGGGCGACCGGUCACACUGGGACUGAGACACGGCCCAGACUCCUACGGGAGGCAGCAGUGGGGGAAUAUUGCGCACUGGGCUGGAAGCCUGACGCAGCGACGCCGCGUGAGGGAUGAUGACGGCCUUCGGGUUGUAAACCUCUUUCAGCAGGGACGAAGCUAACGUGACGGUACCUGCAGAAGAAGCGCCGGCUAACUACGUGCCAGCAGCCGCGGUAAUACGUAGGGCGCAAGUUGUCCGGAAUUAUUGGGCGUAAAGAGCUCGUAGGCGGUCUGUCGCGUCCCGUCGUGACAAGCCCACGGCCUUAAACCCGUGCGGUCUGCGGGUGGGCAUACGGGCAGACUAGAGGCAGGGUAGCGGAGAAUGGAAUUGCCCGGUGUAGCGGUGAAAUGCGCAGAUAUCGGGAGGAACACCGGUGGCGAAGGCGGUUCUCUGGGCCUGUUACUGACGCUGAGGAGCGAAAGCGUGGUGAGCGAACAGGAUUAGAUACCCUGGUAGUCCACGCCGUAAACGUUGGGCGCUAGUGUGGGGUUCUUCCACGGAUUCCGCGCCGUAGCUAACGCAUUAAGCGCCCCGCCUGAUGAGUACGGCCGCAAGGCUACAACUCAAAGGAAUUGACGGCGGCCCGCACAAGCGGCCGGAGCAUGUUGCUUAAUUCGACGCAACGCGAAGAACCUUACCAAGGCUUGACAUCGCCGGAAAUCCAUCAGAGAUGGUGGGUCCUUGUUGGGCCGGUGACAGGUGGUGCAUGGCUGUCGUCAGCUCGUGUCGUGAGAUGUUGGGUUAAGUCCCGCAACGAGCGCAACCCUCGUUCCAUGUUGCCAGCACGUAGUGGUGGGGACUCAUGGGAGACCGCCGGGGUCAACUCGGAGGAAGGUGGGGAUGACGUCAAGUCAUGCCCCUUAUGUCUUGGGCUGAAACAUGCUACAAUGGCCGGUACAGAGGGCUGCGAUACCGUGAGGUGGAGCGAAUCCCUUAAAGCCGGUCUCAGUUCGGAUCGAAUCGAAGUCUGCAACUCGACUUCGUGAAGUCGGAGUCGCUAGUAAUCGCAGAUCAGCAACGCUGCGGUGAAUACGUUCCCGGGCCUUGUACACACCGCCCGUCACGUCACGAAAGUCGGCAACACCCGAAGCCCGUGGCCCAACCACCUUGUGUGGUGGAGCGGUCGAAGGUGGGGCCGGCGAUUGGCGACGAAGUCGUAACAAGGUAGCCGUACCGGAAGGUGCGGCUGGAUCACCUCCUAAU
rnacentral:rRNA from 1 species